UGUGCCUGAGAGGCAGCAGGGCAUGGUUGGGAAAGCCUGUAUGGUGGGUUAGCUGGAGCUCAGUUCUGAUUCUGCUCUGGCUGGUUUUUAAGGCCCACAGAGAAAAUAAGCAACACGCUCCCCUCUUUUUGAUGUUUGAUGUUUGAAAUAAACUUUCAAGUACUUACAAAUCAUCAAUGGAUUCAGCACGUUUAGGAGUGGAGAAUGGGAAUCUGCAUUUCUAACAAGCUUUCCAGGUCAUUCUAAUGCAGGUAAAAGUACAACUAAAGAGCUCAAAAUUCGGGGGCAAGGAAUGGAGUAGCUGCCCAGGCUGAUGCGCGUGUGCAGCCGCCAUGGAGAUGUGUUGCUGAGAUUUUUCUUGCAGCGAGAACCUGCGGUGAGGCCUGCUGUCAGCGGCAGGUUCCCUGGGGAUCCGCCUGGGCUUUGGGAGCGAUCUAGCCCUGCCCAGGCCGCCCUUGCCAAGACCGAGCUCGGUGAGGCCCAGGAGCCGGGUGUUUCAUCUCUCCUGCCAGUCUUUGCACCUGAACUUCUUACCCAAUCCUCCUUUCUGCCCUCUACCUUGUUCACAGGGGUCAGGCCUCUGUCAUGGUCGGAGGCCUUUCCCUACCCACUCCUGCUUCCUCUCCUCUUUCUCUUUCACGGUCUCACCUCCAACAAAUCUCUCAGAUCCU